GCCGGAGUGGUGAAACUGGUAGACGCGCUGGACUCAAAAUCCAGUGGGCCUCGUGCCCGUGAGAGUUCGAGUCUCUCCUCCGGCACCA
rnacentral:tRNA from 1 species